GUGUAGCAAGGCUAAUAGCAGGUGGCUAACUCUAACUUUAGCUUGCAUAUUACAUGGUGCUUCACUGUUCACUCGGCGUGACCGAGACCAGCACAGCGGGGAACAUCGUGAAGUGGGUUGAACUGAAACUUGUUGACUUAUUGUGUAUUUCACAAACUGGUUUAUUUACCGUUGAGGCGGACCACUCUCCUCCUUUGGCAUUCCUGAGCUGCCUUCUUCAGAUGCCUCACUCUGCUGUGCUGUGAGGUAGUUAGUGGAUGAAGAUUGUCAUGAGGUCGUUGCGCCAUCUACAGGAUAAGUCGGAGAACUCUUCAAAUGGUGGAACAUUUUCGAAAUGAACUGAAUCUUAUUCUCCGCAUUUUAUUUCUGAAAAUAUCUGCGAGUUUUGGCCGAAUACCGAUUAGUCACAAACGGGCUAAAAUCGGCCGAUUUAAUCGGCUCGCAUUAGCGGAUUGCAAUGCUUGUAAAAAAGCUAAUUAUGAUAUAAGCUUUCAUCAUGUCUCAAAAGACAAUCGUGUCCGAGAGCUGAAUGGCUCCUAUGUUACCUGCUACUUCUACUACACCGGCAACGUUAGGCUGCAGGCUAACUCGUGGAGAAGUGUGCAGAGCAGCGCUGUCUCCACCUACGACUCAGAGGUGAAUUGCUAAUGAGCUACUAGAGCUCUGCAGCAGAAAAGCUAUUGAAAACGACACAGGUAACAUGAUUUUUGCUAAAAACAGUUAGAGGACCGUUGAGAACACUUUAAGUCACAUAUGUCAGAGUCAAGGCCCGCGGGCCACAUCUGGCCCGCGAGAAGGUUUUUUACGGCCCCUGGGAUGAUCUUGAUUUAUUAUUAGAACCGGCCCGCAGACCGCAGCAAGCCGGCAGCCCGCAGAUCUUUUACACGCACCAAUACUACAUUUCCCACAAUGCAACGGUGACGCACCGAGCAGUAGGCUCAUCCAGGCUGCUCAAACGUUGUCUAUGUUUGGCAGCACAUACCUGUGUGAACAACUGUUUUCUUUGAUGAACCUGAACAAAACAUCACACAGAAGUCGACUUACUGCUGAACACCUUCACUCAAUUCUGAGGAUUUCCUCAGCUCAGAGCCUUACCCCGAACAUUGAUGAACUUGUGGAAAUGAUGGGACACCACCAAGUAUCACCCUCAACCUCAAACAAGUGAACAUUACUGUGCAAUCACAUAUUUAGAGUUUUUACUCAUUUCAAGUUUAAAAGUUAAAGUUUAAUAUUUGUUUUCACUGCAUGUUACUUCUCCUUGAAGAAAGUGUUGUUUUUGAUUAAUAGAUUUUUGCACUUUAUUUUAUUGUAUUUCAAUCCAAUUAUAUUUUAAAAAUAUUUCAGUUGAGUGGAUGAUAGAAAAUUGCUAUUAUUAUUUUUUUCUUUGAAGUAAAUUUAGCCCACUUUUGCUAAAAUAGAAAAUAUAGGCUACUGAUGGUGCCUUGAAUAAUACCGGUUUCUUUCAUUUAAUGUUCAUGUUAUGGGGAUUUUUAUAUAAAGGAAAUUUGUCUUUUGUGUCUGUUGAAAAUUAAAGAUUACUGACAGAGCCAUAAGAAAAUAUUGCUUUAUUUAGCUGAUCAUAUUGGAAUAUAUUUGUUAGGUUUUCAGUAGGUUCAAUUAGGUUCACUAGACUAUAUGCGUCAUUUAAAAAAUUUUCAAUGAACAUUCGAUCAGUCCGGCCCUCGGCUUGUAGCUAAAUUUUUUAUUUGGCCCUCCGUCCAUUUGACUUUGACACCCCUGCUUUAAGUAGUAAAAAGAAAAAACAAUCGGAGUGGGACUUUAUGAAGGGACUAUCAGUGCAGUGGUGUGCACUCCACCUGCUUUUGCUCUCUAUACCUACAGUUUUUUCCUACAUACACAAACGCUGGUGCAUCGGUCGUUAAACUUGAUCGGGAACUGCCCUGAGAAGUCGAAUGAAAAAAUAUGUAUAAGCACAGACUAUGACUGUGACUCUGCAGCCCUGGCUUUAUUCUUGUCUUUCUCUGUUGAUGCUAAAAUCAGAUAAACCGAUAGCUCAUCCUGACAGUCUAACUCUUAGCAGAGUUCAUACGCAGAAAAAUCAGUGCUCAAGAGAGCUUUGUGCUUAUUAUCUUCCCCUCACAGGUCAGCCUGUGCUGAUCCAUUUUCCUUCUGAUGCAACCAAAUGUUAAAUGGCCUGCAAUCAAUAUCCAUUAGAGGAAGGCCAUGUGCAUUGGAUUGUUUUCCCUAUUCUUCACUGGGCCUAAUUUAAACUCAAAUAUCUUUAAACAGAUGGAGGAUGUGUCUGGGCAUGCCUGCAUGCAGCAUAUGGCGCAUGGGUGAUAAAAAAUAAAAAAAUUAAAAUAACUUGCUAUGAGCAUAUUAAUACUUAACAGGCCUUGUUGAUACUAAUGUUUCUACUCAGUGCUCAAAUACAAAGGCUGGGUUGCAAAUAGCAGAUGUAAGAAAAUAACUGUAAUGUAUAAUUUUAGGAAUCCCAGCUGAGGGUUGUGUUUUGUGUUUAAAUUUUUAUUCCAAGUCACAGCUCUCGUGUAGCAAAAUUAUGUACAGAAAUAAAGUCAAAGUUUUAAGUGUUUAAUUUUAAUGCUAAUUCGGAAUUUAAAUUCCCCCAAGUGCCGCCUUAAAGAGGAAAUGUAGUGUUUGCUUUUUAGAAUUGCAUUAGAGUAAAAUAAUGGAGUCACAAAAACACGGUCCAAAAGCUGGGAUAACAAUACAUAUGGGAAAUUAUAGUCGUCUGUAAUCUAUUUUAUGCAUUUGGAGGACUUGAAUGAGUUUAAACAAAAUUUAAUCCACCGUGGAGUGGAAAUACUGAGCACCAAAAGAUGGAGCAGGUUAGUUAAAGACAUAACAGUUUAACAGCAGCUUCACUGCAGAGUAUGACACAGGAAAUCGACUCGCACCUACUGCAGCCAAUGAUAUGUGACAGUAUGCAAUAAAUGCGCCGGUGCUCUUAUAGGACAGGAUGAAGUGCACCUGCUCCCGCUCUGAGGUGCACUCACAUCUCUCCUGGGGAGGCUUUCGUGUGAGGGUGUAAUAUACUCUUGGCUGUUAGACCUCGCUGUGUAAAGCUGCAGUUGGUCAGCGUGAAAGAUGGUCAACUGCCUAGCGCGGGAACAAAUACACAGAAAUAGAGUCGUCAGAGUAACAUAUGCUUGAUGAACCAUUUAAAGCUCCUAUAAGGAGUUUUUUGACACUUAUGUAAGAGACUGAAAUUCAAAUUGAUGCAUUUUUAUGACAUCUCAAAGCAAACCAGACCAUCAGUAACAUGAUUGAUUAUGUUAAUAGUAUAAUUUUUUAGUGCCUGAAUAUAGUGUAAGGGAGGAGGUGUCAAGAAAUGGAAAAAAGCAGACAUGUUUUUAUUUGACAGAACAAGUUAGCACAAUGAGAUUUUUUGAGUCUCAAGUGUGUCAAGGGCAAGAUAAACCAAACGGACACACACCAAAAGUUCCCCAUGGCAGCUUUAAAGCUUUUCAUGAUUGAAAAAUUCAUCAAAACAACACAUCAUAACAUCUAGGGAUGGGAAUCCAGAACCGAUUCCAAAUGGUUAAACCCAUUGACAUCGUCUACAUUCUAUCUCAACAAUUCCCUGAACGAUUCCUUUCUUCUGGGUGCCUUAAAAACCGGUCUCGCAGAGAGCCAGUCUACGCGAACGAGAACAGAGACUUUAAGGAAAAAACCAUGGUGGACUGUGCAAAGAGUAGGCAGAAACGAACCAAAAUUUCAGAAUAAUGUACCUCAGUGUAAAAAUUACAAACAAAUUGAGAAUGUAGCAGUCUAUGGGGCAUAAUAUCAUUAAAAUAAAUUGCCGUAUAGGCUCAAAAACUCUAUUGUCACAGUUAAAAUCACUAAUUUAAUCCAAGUCUUACCAAAGCUAAUAAUAUACUAUGUUAAUUUAAUGACUGGGCAUACUAAUCUGUAUAUAAGAAUGCCAUAUGCAUUGACUAAAUCAAUAAAAAUCAUGGAUAAAUGAAGUUUCGACAAAGUUAACUCUCUUUUAUAAAUAAACAGAACAGAACUUCGAGCUGUUUGGUUGCUGACAGACCAGCCCUUGUUGCUCAGCUUUAGCCAAAUGAUCUGGCUUUCUAAAAAAAGGGUGAAAUUCCCAUUGCAAGAGGCUAAACCCUAGCCAGAAAUGUGUUGCCUAUGGAUAAUAAGCUUACUCACUAAUUAGCAAGUACAUUCUGUCGCUGUGAUGUCAGCAUGUGUGUUGUAUUUCUAAAGCUGAUUUGCCAACUCGAGUUCGUCUCAUCUGCUUCACGUCAGCUUAAUAGCGAUACCAGAGGCACGGUUUGUUAGCCCACAACUUUAGCAAACAAGAGCAGCAUCUGUUCUUGCAUAUUUAAUCAUUUAAAUGUAUGUUGUUGAAGUUUAGAGUCCCAGUUCUUUAUUUUAUAUUAUUUUUGGCCUAAUAUACAGAGAACUCAGUUCUGAAGGAAUUUUCCGGAAAAGACUGCAGCCAGUGCCGGGGUUGAUGUGCUGUUGAUAUAAUUAGGCAAUUAUCAGCAUAUCUGUUGGACAGCAGAGCUCAGGAGCUGGAAGCUUGGCCACAACAACUCAACUGCUGUGAAAAAAAUCUGUUCUUUUUGUUUGGUUGUUGUGAGAGUUUGUUGUUUUUUUUUAUUCGCUUUUCUGCUAAAUCACUGCAGAGCACAGCAGGAGCUCGCGUCGGUCAGUCAGACUUUUAAAAAACAAGUCAAGGAAGUCAUUAUAAUAAAAAAAAGCACUUAAAAUCAAAUGUAUAAUAACUCUCCUUCGUAUGACGGAGUAUUAGGGCCAGAAAAAAAAAUAAGACUUUGAGAUUAAAGUCAUUACUAACGAGAAUAAAGUCGUAAUAAAAUCACAAUUUAUGAGAAUAAAGUCGUAAAGUCUUACUCUUAUAAGUAGUGAUUUUAUUACGACUUUAUUCUCAUAAAUAAUGAUUUUAUUACGAUUUUAUUCUCGUAAUGAUAUUAUUAUGACUUAUUUUGAAAUUGGUUUUAUUACGACUUUUGUUUUGAAAAUGAUUUUAUUACGACUUAUUUCUUGUAAGUAAUUAAUUACGACUUUACUCUUAUAAGUAGUGAUUUUAUUACGACUUUAUUCUCAUAAAUAAUGAUUUAUGACGUAAUGAUAGUAAUGAUAUUAUUACGACUUAUUUUGAAAUUGGUUUUAUUACGACUUUUGUUUUGAAAAUGAUUUUAUUACGACUUAUUUCUCGUAAGUAAUUAAUUACGACUUUAUUCUUGUAAGUAAUGAUUUUAUUACAACUUUAUUCUCGUAAAUAAGGAUUUUAUUACGACUUAUUUUGAAAAUGGUUUUAUUACGACUUUUGUUUUGAAAAUGAUUUUAUUACGACUUAUUUCUCGUAAGUAAUUAAUUACGACUUUAUUCUUGUAAGUAAUGAUUUUAUUACAACUUUAUUCUCGUAAAUAAGGAUUUUAUUACGAUUUGAUUUUUGUAAGUAAUGAUUUUAUCACGACUUAGUUCUGGUUAGUGAUGACUUUAAUCUAAAAGUCUUCAUUAUUAUUUUUUCUCAAUGUGGUCCUAAUACUCUGUCGCACCCUCAAAUUAAAGUUAAAAGUCAUUGAAAAAAAAACAAUGCUGGGAUGGCUGUUUCCGUGUCUCUUGAGUGUGUGCUCUCAAGAAGAACAAGUCUACAGAAAAAUGGACACUGUGGGCCUGGAAAAGGAUUUUAUUUCUGUCCAGUUCCCUGAUCCGCUUCAGUCUGAGCUACCUCAUUGAAAAAACAAGAGUUAAAUCUCCUAAUUACAUCUUUACUUGACACGAGCGCUGCAUCAGUUUCUUGUAGGUUACAGGUCGCUUUUAAUCCACAGCUAGACUAAAAACGCAACAGUUUUGAUUUUUGACUCUUGAAAGUUUCUGUCCAGGUGCAUUGAUACUUUUACAAAAUAAUAUUUUAGUCGUUGUAACACCACAAGGACGAAAAACAAUAAAGCGUGAAUGUUCAUAGGAUCGAAAAAGUGAAAGAGCCGAAGCUUUAACUCUCGCUGUUACCUCGGAAUUAAAAGGUGUUGGAGGCCGAACAUCAAUACCGUUAACAAAAUAGUUCUUUUAAAUUAAAGAAACCAGUCCCAAACAGUUCUCCGCCAAGGUAAAGGUGGCUUGAAAGACAUCAUUGAAACAGGAUUGAUUCAUAUUCAUAGAGCGAGAGGGUGCAGUCAGAUAUUAAACGGCGCAGAGAAGCAUCAGGUCUGCUCUUUUGAGAAGAAUGAUCCGUAUGAAAGCAAACCUGCCUUAGUCAUACUCAAUGAACAGUUUUGACUCCGCUGUGAACAUUAUGCCCUUGGGUGGUGCUCCACUUGCUUCUCGUGAUGAGUCACCCUGCACGCCUGUUUCCAAACUGCCCUGCUUCUGCUCUUUCGUUCGACAAAGUCUACCCUUUGAAAAGAGCGGAGGGAAAAGACGAUGAAGGCCCUCCCGUUUAAGAUUUACUGAACUUAGCGUGCUCGCUUUUGAAUAAGUGUCGAGCCGUGGGACUUCCAGGUGAGGAGGCGAGCAGGUUCAUUCAGUGGGAGAGAAGGUUUGGCUUGGAUUAGACGUCACCCUUCGCCAGCCGCACAAAUACCCGCCAACUAUUAAUUAAUACAGCCUUCUAAAUCCUUUCAGUCCAUUUGAUUGGCAGCAGUCCAGGCCCAUUUUCCACACAGAAACUAGUAAGAAACAAAUAUUGCCAAGGCUUUAGCUGUAAUUGGCCCACCGUAAAGAAGGGGUGCAGGAUAUCCGUUAUGAAUUACACCACUCGCCUCUCACCGAUGGUAAGGAAUGCUUAAAGCUAAACUUGCUUAAUUAGAGUUUUGCAGCAACCUCUUUUCUUGGAAACUGUGUGUUGCCUCUCUUCGAAGAGCAAAGUCAUUAUUUUUGCUUUGACCUGUUUACGGAAGCACACAUGUUUUCGUGAAAGUUGAAAUCGCUUCAAUUAACUUUAUCAAACUGAAUUCUGCCCUUGCACCUGCUGCAUUUGAGCUUGUUGUGUCUUUUUCGUGUAACCUUAACUAGUUUAGUCUAAAAACCAAGGAGACAAUGAUGUUCCAAAUUGGCUUUGUUUUGAACCUUUCAGGAACUGUUGCAAUGAAGAGCGGCAUAAAGGUGGAGUUCUCCAUUCAGACGUAACGCUAAAGCAGCUUUUAUCGUUGAGUAGCUCAUGCUUUUGAACACGAGGUUCUAAUAGGUGAAUGAAGUACAAGAAAACAUCAACAAACCUUCAUCUUUUGAAUGGUUGCGCUUCAAUUGCGACUACCCUGACUCCAGGUCAGAGUAAAUGCAGUAGAGGAACAUUUUCCACUUGCAAACAAACAACCCACUUUGUAAGAUGAUGUGAUUUUUGUAUGGCAUAAGCAUUUGUACCUAACAAUACCUGUGAAGAAAGAAAAUAUGCAGGCUUAUCAUGUAACCACUGCAAGGGAGAAACAAGUAGGACAUUUCUACACAGAGCUUAGCCAAGCCAAACUCCGGACACUUUUAGACCAAAUCUGUUGUCAUCUGUUUUGACAUUAAAUGCCUUAAAGCUCCAAUGAGGAGAUUUUCACUCACGACAAAAUGGACAAACUUUACAGCAAUGCCUCUUUACGACCUACAAAAGCCAAUAAGACUUGGGUGACCACACGUCGUCUUUGACCUGGACAUGUCCUGUUUUUUGGGGGGUGUCUGGGUUUGUCCGGGGAAGUUUAUAAAAUUCUUUAAAUGUCUGCGAUUUUGUACAUAAGUUUUGAUUUUGUGUCACGUGGACUUGCUGAGUUAGAAGCGCGUAAAAGACACAUUUAAUCUGACCCAAAAACCUCUCAAAAUUAACUUUGUGUGACCCCGUCCCCACAUAGUCGUGUCCUUCUUUUUGGAAAGUCAGAAUAUGGUCACCCUAAACAAGACUAUUACCAGUAAGAUCGGCAACUUCUAGAAUUAAAUAUCUAUCUCAUGUCUGUAACAGCUGCAUGGGUGUAGGAGGAACAUUUUACUGAUUUGGCAAAAAGGCAUAAUGCUUUGAAGGUCAAUAAGGCUUACAACUGUAGAGAAUAUCAUAUAUAAACUUUGUCCACAGGGGGCGCCAAAAUCAACACAAGAGCUUUAAUAGAGUUUUUGCAAGGUUACUCAAAGUUUCCGUGUGGAACCUGUAGUUUCUGUCAAUUUUGGCACCACCUUUUGAUAAAGCAGUCAUAUUUAAAUAGUGAUUUUUGACAGUUAAAUGUACAAUUUUGUGGGAUUUAAAAAAAAUAGGGUUUUGUCAACUGCUUGGCUGAUUUUUAACCCCUUGCUUCUGCUUCGGGGUUAAAAGAAUAGAGUAUAAAAAUCUUCAAUCUCUGAAUGAUAGUCUUGUUUAAUCUUAAAUAUCAUGUAAAAGCAUCAGUGUGAAUGUCAGUUUAAAGGAAACCUUCAGCACACAAUGUUCCCUCUCACCAUCACUUAGUUUGGCUUCCUCAGAUUAAGUUCAGCUUUAUGACUACUAAAUCUGGAAUCAAAUCAACAAGAACAAAGUGAAGGACCAGAGUCAAGCCUCCUCUCUUGCCAAAUCAUCAAGAACUGGCCUCCAUAUUGAAGGACACCUGCAAACUUUGGCCAACCUUUGUGCCCAAUGCCAGAGUGCGGACGACUCGCCAGCAGGCUGCCGCUUCAUACAUCCCAAAACCUGUGCCAGGUUGUUUUUAGAGGCUUCUGCUUUCGUAUGUCCACUUUUUAAAGUUAAGUAAAAGUAAGCGCAAAACUGCGUAUGAACAUAUUCAAGCUGAGUUGUUGUAUUGAGGAUCUGUGACUUUAAAUUUCCACUUUUUAUAAGUAUCAUUUCAAUGAAAUCACCAGCUAAAACAAUCACUUAAUUUAAAAUGUUUUAAUAUGAUUCUCUGGUGUUCUCCUACCCACUGGCAAACCUGAGAACCUUCAUUCAAAAUAAUUAAACACAGAAUCACAGCUUAAGUAUUCGCCAAUCAAAAUGAUUGAUUUAAUAGCCGUCUCGCUGUUUUGACAAGCAUUAUGAUUCUGACUGGUAAAAUGCCACGCAGCGAGGAUUCUGAUUUCUAUAUUAAGGUUUGUGGGAAGGCUGCGAGGAGAAGAUACGAGUUCACAGGCGGUCCUGACAGAGAUGAGAUUAGGAACAGCACCCUAAACGUGUCAUUUAUGUAAGUAUGGGUGGUUACGUGUCAAUCAGCAUGAAUGGAGCUGGGGAUAUAGGCGACCAAUUCAGGGAAACGGUCUCUAAUAAAGGCGAAACUGCAAAUUGGACUCCUUCUUGUUAACAAGCUUGGAUAGUAUAAAUUUAACCUUUUGUAGAACAUAUUUCAUCUAGAGGUUUUGCUGCAUAUUACAGGUCAAAGAGUGGUCAAAUCAUCAUCAGAUACCUCAGCCUUGUGGUACAUUCAUUGCUGUUGCUAUUUCUCCUCAGGGUGGACGGGCUCUGAUGGAAAAGCUCAGGACUAGUGUUCAGGAAGCAGGGACUUUAAGGUAGAUGCCCUGAAGGGAGGGAAAGGGGUCAGAGCUGUUCUGAAAGGAGGUCUAAAGGUCGAGGGUACGAAAGAAAGUGUAGAUCUGGCUCCCUAUAGGAAACAGGAGUUGCUGUUGGCCUGCUCAUUAAGAAACUGGGGUCAGCAUAGGAGCUGACCUUGGUCUGAACAUCUGUUAGCCCAGAGACCAAUCUUGGGACAGGAAUUGCAGGAAGCCUACUUAAAGGGAUAUUCCAGCAUAAAAUUAAGUCGGGGUGAAACACACCGCAACACCAAGUUGGACACCCCCUCGAGAGAUGAAUGUUGCCAACCGCUUGCUUCUCUAGUUAUACCAACUUUAGUAACGACCGCAGGUAGCAAUACAAAGAGCCACGUGCUCAACCAAAAAGCCACUCUAUAGCUACAAAUAAUGCUCAGAACAGCACCUAACUUUAUCAACAGUAAAUAUAGGGUCCCAGCCACAGCACUAGCCACCAAACAUCUUUUAAGCUUUGCCUGAUUUCUUUAUCAGAGAGACUAAACACAACUCACCUGCUCUCUUCCAGCAGCCGCUUGUUUGGAGCAAGACCUUGGGCCAGUCCAUUACAGACUACAGUGGGGUGACACAGCUCAAGGAAGAACAUUUAUGAUCAUUUCUCCAUGAAAAUAACUACCACGUCUGCGGUGCAAAAUGAUUAAUAUGGUGAUUAUUACUUCAAGGAAAUGAUAAAGUAAUGAUCAUAAGUGUUCUUCCUUGAGCUGCGUCACCCCAUAGCAGUCGCUGAUGGACUCGUCUGAGGUCUCUCUACAAACAAGCUAAAAAGAUGUUUGGUGGCUAGUGCUAUGGCUGGGAUCCUAUAUGUACUGUUGUUGACGUUAGCAUUAUUUGUGGCUAUAAAGUGGCGUUUUGGUUGAGCACGUGGUUCUUGAGACCGCUUUGUAUUGCUAUCGUGCGGUGGUUACUAAAGUUGGUAUAACUAGAGACGCAAGCAAUCUGCAACAUUCAUCUCUCGAUGGGGUGUCUAACUUGGUGUUGCGGUGUGUUUCACCCUAACUUAAUUUCAUGACGGAAUAUCCCUUUAAAGCAGGACGAAGGGGUAGAUAGCACAAAUUAGCAUCCAUGUCUUCACUGCAAAUGAAACAGGUCCUAGUCAAUUGGACAGCAACAAAGCUCAACAACAAUUUGUGCUUUUAGGCAAAAGUUGUCAACUGCACUUAAAUUACUUUUUGUCCAGGCGAUUGAAAAAUAUUUUGAGUUUCUGCUUCCUGUUAGGCUACGAGCAUAAAGUACCAGCAAACACUGCAUUCCCAGAAGUCUCUGGGAUAUGAUAACAGCUUUUGUGUUCACUUGUAGAAGUCACCUUGGAAUCACAAACGCAGACAAUUUGAUUUGCAAAAUGAAAUACCCAAGGCCUCAGACAAACAAUUUCAUUUAUCAUUUCUCCUCCACAUUUAAAAAGGUACUUUUCUAACUGGAGCAAACACAUUAAUAACUGUAUUUUUCAAAUCGUCUUUAGGGUUUCCUUCAGCAGUUUUUCCCCUGCUGUGAGCUAAUCUGGGGGUGCAGAGUGAUGUUAUGUCCCACCAUAUGUGUUUGUUAUUUUUUUCUCUCAUUAAAUCUGGGCUGGGAGUCGAAGCCUGCAGUAUCUCAUGUUUUAUUUAUGCCAAAGAUGUGUCUGCUCUGCUCGUCUUCAGCUCAGGCUUUUUGAUCUUCUUUCAUUAGAGGAUGUUCAAUAUUUAUCAGUGCAGUUUCCUAUUAUUCUGCCCAUGGAUAGGUCCAACUCUUUUAGCGCCUCAGAGUCAGGCAGCUAUCAGGGUUUUCUCAUUGCACACAUUUGUUGAGGAAAUGAUACUUAUGCCCUUAAAACACUCUUUUUCUCCAAAGGAGGGCUUCAGAGAUCUCAGGCAUUUGACCCGACGUCUGUUGUAUGUUCUGACAGGGUUCAUUUUACAGCUAAAGGACAAUAUAAAACACAUUGCCAAUUCAAUCCCUCUUUAUUUCAAUCCCACCUCCAAACUCGAUGUAGAUUACUGAAACCAGUCCCAGGUCACCCUUAAGGAGUAUAAAACCCAAUAAUACUCAGAUUAAUGUAGAUUUAAUAGCUUUUUAUGAAUCAUUUUAGUGGUCAUUUUACUGACUACUCCAGAUGUGAGAAACCCAACUGGGUGCCCUUAACCUUCCCCUGCCUUUGGAUGAAAACAGUCCAUCUAAAAUGACAGGCAGUAAAUGGAGAAUGAAGCAAUCUCUGGCAAAUUAACAGCUUACAAUAAGAAAGAAAUGUUGUUUUUCAGCUUGUAAGAACCCCCCAAAAAAUCAAGCAAACAGAAAAAGUUUUUUUUUUUAUUGGCAAUUGGUAACAAAACAUUUAAAAGAUUCAAUGUGAAAGGGUUUAUAUGAAUGGCUUCUCAAUGUGUUAAAAAGAGAAAGGAGAUUAAAAAAACAAACAUCAAAUGGAUGUUAUUGUAGUUGACUAACAAUUUGUUUUUGCUCUUGCUACUCUUGCGAAUCAGUAAUCAGUUACAAAAUGUAUUGAUAAUUUUAUUGGUUGUCCCCUAACAUAACACAUAAAUGAAGAACUGACUGAUUAAUUAGACAGAUUUGUCACAUUUUAACAUAAUCGGCUAUGUAUUGGCUUUUUCCCAACAUGAAUUAACAACACUUAAAUUCCAAAACAAUCAUAGAUGACUGUUUUAAUAUUGUAUAUUUAUUUAUAUUUAUGAUUGAUAUAAAUAUUUAUUUAUACUUAGAACUGACAGUAAUAUCAACCAAAUUUAGCAGUUUAUAACUAAAUUACAAAAUCUGUGUCCUUCUGUAUGUUCCUUUAAAAUUCAUCUAUAACAUAUUACUGGCUAAGAUUAUCAUGGAUUUAGGAUUUUCAAACAUAUGGAAUAAUGAAUCUGUACAUGACUUUUUAUUUCAAAUUUUAACCACAAUAUUUGUCCUCAUAUUAUUUUUGCUCGAACAAAUUAAAAAGACUAAAUAAAAAAAUUUAAAAAACGAAAAAAAAAAAAGUGUCAUUUCGGUGUUAUAUAUCAGCUAUUGGCCCAUCUUCUCUCUCGCAAUCAGUGUCAGCAUAGGCUGAAAACUGACGGCCUCACGAAGCAAGUACAUUUUACAGUUCAAUGGUAUGUUGUACUGUUAUAUUUUGGAAAUAACAACACAUUAAUUUUAGGUUAAUCCCACUUUUUCCAGAGGUAUCUUGAAGAAAAAGUCUUUUGUUUAGGUUAAUAAUGAAUGUUAGAUUUUAUACACAUCAUUUUUAUGCUGUAGUUGGCAGAUAAUACAUCCAAAGUUGUCUUCUCCGACCCCACAUCAGGACCUCGGCUCUGUCUCCCCUGUUUUUUUGAGCCGCUGUGAGGCUGCCUCUCAUUGGUGCAAGCUGUUGCUAGUCAGGCUGCCAUGUUAGCAAUCAGACCAAGCUUGCCAGCUCGACAGUGGGGGCAUGCCCGGCUGAGGUCAAGCCUUUUAGCGAGUCGCUGUGGGGCGAAUGUAAAAUUGUGACCCCGUGGUGGGAUGUGAGUAGAGCGCUUUGUUCACCGCUUUUUAUGUCACUGGGACAGAGUGACCAUUUCUAAGGGCUGAAAAUACAGCUUGCGGUUUUGUUCUGCUGCAAAUUGGCAGAAGUAUAAAAGAAAAGCAAGGCAAGUAUAAAUCACAGCAGUUGUUUUUGGACGUAACUUUGGCUCUGCGCACUUAUUGUUUGUGCAGUGGUGUGAGUGUAUCUUGUGAAAUAGGUCACAGCAGCACAAAAUGAACACUUGAGAGCAAGAUUUACCCUUUUUUUUUCUCUCAAAGAACCCAGCUGUGAACAAUAAUUUUGCUCUACAAGCUUAAAAGACCCCAUAAAUACAGGACUGGAUAGAGGUUUAAGGAAGGUGAACACUUUCAAUCUUGGAGAAAAAGCUGUGUUUGUAAAGAAUUUUAAAUUCAAGGGUCCACUGUUCCUGGUCCAUUGUAGUUUAUGUAAUCAUAGUAAACUUUGUAUACUAAACUGUAUAAAAUGUGGGUGUAGUCACUAGGGCAUGACCGAUAUGGAUUUUUUGGGGCCAAUAAUGAUAACGUAUUAGGUGGGGGAAAAAUCCGAUUACCGAUUUUUUUUUAAUUUUUAUGAAGUUAUAAAUAUAUAUAUAUAUAUAUUAAGGCUGUCAAAGUUAACGCGUUAUUGUCGCGUUAACUCGAGUGACUUUUAUCGCCACUAAUUUUUUUGACGCACGAUUAACGCAAGCCUUAGCCUGGCUUGACCAAACUAUACACACACUGCGUGGAUAUUCUUGCCGUUGUAAAAGGGUAGAGGAACAGUUGGUGAGCUAUGUGAGCCUCGGGGCACUCCGUAGUUUCGCGAAUCAGGAAGUAGAGCAAUGACCGAUACCGCAGCAGACAUAAACAAAUUCACGUGAGCAGUAACUAGGAUAUAAUGGAUAAGAACACUAUUUUGAACGGAAAGUUCAGCUACAAAGCCUUGCCAGAUGGCUCUCUUGACAGGACAAAAGUCAUUUGUGUUUCCUGUCGAGCUGAAUUUAGUUACCACCGGAGUACGUCUAGUCUCAAAUACCACUUGUCGGACAAGUACACAGCUGAUGCAGUGAGCCCCCCCCCGCGCAUACGGAUCGCAUCAAAUGACUGGACAUAUGAAUUACCUUGUAGGACCACCAUUACCAUGAAAAUCCACGAUCUGUCCUCAUGUUGAUUCUUAUGUUGAUAAAAGUAUAACAAUUUGAAAAAGAUCGAUUUAGAAUGGAUCAAAAAUAUGCGAUCAAUUUGCGAUUAAUCAUGAUUAAUUAUGAUCACAAUUCGAUUAAUCGCGAUUAAAUAUUUUAAUCGAUUCACAGCCCUAAUAUAUAUAUAUACAGUAUGUGUAUAUAUAUAUAUAUAUAUAUAUAUAUAUAUAUAUAUAUACUGUUCAUAUCUGCAGUAUACUAUAUACUGUAGAUAUACUGUAGGCUACUGCUCUUCACACCAACAGGAAGACCGACUGAUCAAACUCGGACCAGAAAAGCGUUUUCAACUACCCCUGCCGCUGCCGCCGCCGAUCGGUGCCUCCGCGUCUUAACUUGCGUUACACAUUUCCGGUCCUGUCUCAUCUGGAUGCAUGCAGCUGCCUCAGUAAGAGAAGUAGCUCGAUCACGUAAUGUGCACUGCUGUUUAUUCUACUGUUACUGGCACGGCUAACAGUGUAGCAAGGCUAAUAGCAGAUGGCUAACUCUAACUUUAGCUUGCAUAUUACAUGGUGCUUCAUCGUUAACUCAGCGUGACCGAGACCAGCACAGCGGGGAACAUCGUGAAGUGGGUUGAACUGAAACCUGUUGACUUAUUGUGUAUUUCACAAACUGGUUUAUUUACCGUUGAGGCGGACCACUCUCCUCCGUGCGUCCCUGAGCUGUCUGCUUCAGAUCCGUCACUCUGCUGUGAGGUAGUUAGUGGAUGACGAUUGUCAUGAGGUCGCUGCGCCAUCUACAGGAUAAGUCGGGGAACUUUUCAAAUGGCGGAACAUUUUCGAAGUGAAACCGAAUCUUAUUCUCCGCAUUUUAUUUCUGAAAAUAUCGACGAAAAUCUGCAAGUUUUGGCCGAUUACCAAUUAGUCUCAAAUGGG